AGGAAGGAAAUAAAGGGAACCAAAUUAUAACGUUUACCAACCACCAAAAAAUUGAGUUAUUUUCGCACUGCUUUAUUUGAAUCGACAUUUCUAUUUGAUUGAUCCAAACACCAAUUUAUACAAAAUCCGCAUAUUUUACACAUACAUUUGUCAAUACAAAAGAGCAUAUUUACGCGAUUUUCACAAUAUAAAUGUGAAAAUUAUAGCCUUCUGGAAGAUUGAAAACAAAUCAGCCCAGUGGAGCGUUCUUAAGUGUAUAAUACUUCUUUCAAGCUGAACUAGAUAAAUACAUAUUGUAUCAAGAAAGUGAUUGGAAUAUUGAAAAGAAUUGUUCCCUCGGCGGGCUUUAAUCGACAAACUUUCAAUGAUACUACCUCGUCAUUUCGAAGAGGACUGACUAUUUAGAUGACGAUGUCUUGGGGAAAGUAUUAUAAGACUAUUGUCCCGAGUCGUGAAGAAUAUUAGACUGCGUCGUACCUGGACAAGGUACGACCGUGAUGACGUGGAACUGGCCAAUAGGCGGAGGAAGCGGCCAAAUACGCGGUAAAGGUUAUUAAACGAAGGAAACUUUACAGUUCUUAUUAGAUAACCCGAUUCGUAUCACAUAGUUCUUAAUGACAAGAAAAGGGUCAUGGUGAAGUAAGAAGAUGAACCAAUAGUGGUGCGUUAAAUCUAAAAUAAUUUUAAAAUUUUGUACGAGGCAUUUAGAGUCUCACUACCACAUACCUGGCAGACGAAGUUAACGAAUUGGCUUGGGAUACAAUUCUUUGCAUUGAAGGUUGGAAGUGGUUAAUAUCCAUCUCGAAACGUAUGCAAUGAUACUAAAAACAGUUCCAUUGGGAAAAGCACAAAGUGCACAGUUAUUCCGAGAAUACAGUGGACUUAAUCUUUGGAUCGCAAAUAAAUAGGUGGAGGGAUGGAUCCCUUGCGUUCUAGACGACCAUUAGAAAUAAUUAUGCAACUGGAUUAAAUCCCAAAUGAUGAAUUAGUGAGAUGAGAAUAUGUGAAUUACUUUGAUGAGAUGCAAAUAUUUUUUAACCUUACAGGACGUUAUAUUAAGUACGGAUUUGCAUAAUCGUUACGGAGCGCGUGGUGUCGACAGCUAUGUUCGCUGCGUCACAAUAGUGGAAAAUUUAAGAGAAGUUGUUGCCCGUACACAAAUGGUAGCUACUCUGAAUUAGCUAUUUUAUAUAUAUAUAUACAUAUAUAUAUAUAUAUAUAUGUUAAUGCUUUAUGCAUACAUAUACUAAUUGACGGACUAAUUAGCGGACCCAGCUUCAUUCUUGCCUAAUGCAAAUUCGAUGGAGAUUUUUAGGACAAGUCAAGUGAAUCCAAUUCAAUUGCAGGACCGUAUUUAUGUUGACGUCGAGUGUAAAAUGUGCACGAAAUAUGGGAAUAAGAAAGCACUCCAGUUGAUUCGACGUCUUCUCAAGGUUUGGUCGUGUAGGAUUGAAAUAUUUUCAUAUACAAAUUAAAUGAUUUCAUCCUAUAAUUCUAUAUAUGUAGCUAAAUAUAAAAUCAAAAAGUCAUCAAAAAUUUGUAAUUAAAAGAUCUCACUGUAAUGAUAUCAAACCUGGUUAAA